UACAGAGGUCUCAAGCGUUGUUCGGAAUUACUGGGCGUAAAGGGCGCGUAGGCGGUCUGCUAAGUUGGAUGUGAAAACUCUGGGCUUAACCCAGAGCCUGCAUUCAAUACUGACAGGCUAGAGUUCUGGAGGGGAUAGCGGAAUUCCUGGUGUAGCGGUGAAAUGCGUAGAUAUCAGGAGGAACACCGGUGGCGAAGGCGGCUAUCUGGACAGAGUCUGACGCUGAGGCGCGAAAGCUAGGGGGGCAAACAGG
rnacentral:rRNA from 1 species